rnacentral:ncRNA from 1 species
UCUUAUCCAGAGAGACGGAGGGACUGGCCCUUUGAUGUCUCAGCAACCUGCCGUUACAGGUUAAGGUGCUAAUUCCAGUAGGCAAAUGCCUAACAGAUAAGA